rnacentral:rRNA from 1 species
GACGAACGCUGGCGGCGUGCCUAAUACAUGCAAGUAGAACGCACAGUUUAUACCGUAGCUUGCUACACCAUAAACUGUGAGUUGCGAACGGGUGAGUAACGCGUAGGUAACCUGCCUGGUAGCGGGGGAUAACUAUUGGAAACGAUAGCUAAUACCGCAUAAUAUUGAUUAUUGCAUGAUAAUUGAUUGAAAGAUGCUAUUGCAUCACUACCAGAUGGACCUGCGUUGUAUUAGCUAGUAGGUGAGGUAACGGCUCACCUAGGCGAGGAUACAUAGCCGAACUGCGAGGGUGAUCGGCCACACUGGGACGGGGACACGGCCCAGACUCCUACGGGAGGCAGCAGGAGGGAAUCUUCGGAAAGGGACGAAAGUCUGACCGAGCAACGCCGCGUGAGUGAAGAAGGGUGUCGGAUCGGAAAGCUCUGUUGUAAGAGAAGAACGGGUGUGAGAGUGGAAAGUUCACACUGUGACGGUAGCUUACCAGAAAGGGACGGCUAACUACGUG